rnacentral:snoRNA from 1 species
GUGCCCUUUUAAGACCGAAGCAGUGCUGCAAGAGGCUAACACAGAAGCGUAAAGUAAGUCUUCAUAAACCCAGAGAAGAGAUUACAAAACUUCUCUUUGGAUCCUGUCUGGAGUCACAGCU